rnacentral:rRNA from 1 species
UACGUAGGGGGCAAGCGUUGUCCGGAUUUAUUGGGCGUAAAGAGCGCGUAGGCGGCCAGAUAAGUCCGGUGUGAAAGUCACAGGCUCAACCUGUGAAUGCCGCUGGAAACUGUCUGGCUAGAGUCCGGAAGGGGCGAGUGGAAUUCCUGGUGUAGCGGUGAAAUGCGCAGAUAUCAGGAGGAACACCAGUGGCGAAGGCGGCUACCUGGACCAGCACUGACACUGAGGCACGAAAGCGUGGGGAGCAAACAGG